CGCAUGUCCCAAACGUGGCGACGCCGAGCUCGCCUACUCCUUUCCCAGCAUCGCCGCCUCCCAUCAGUCUUCACUCCACAGCAAGGAACCAAAGCUGAGAGCUCCAUCUCGUCCUCCUCUCCUUCCUCUCCAUCGUCGGCCACCGGGAAGGACGCGUUGCCGUUCGUCGUCGAGCGGAUCAUUGGGAACGCCAUCAUGCCCACGGGAGCUCCAAAGCGCGCCCGGAGCGCCGUCACCACGACCUCGUCGCUGUCCCGGCUGCUGUGGCGCGAAUCCGGCCGAGCCGUCGCGCCAACAUCUUCCCCUCGAGGUCCUCUCCAAAUGCCCUAAAAAAUCCCCAAGAUCUGAGCACCGAGGAGAGAGAUCGAGCUAUUCUUCUCCAAGUCCAGCCGCUGAGCUCCAUCAUUGAUUCCUCUUUCUCCGUUCUUGUAGUGAGUCAAGCCGACACCGUUCAUGCGAGAAGGAGCGUCGUCGCCGAGCCGUUCCGAACGCCGUCGUCGACGACCAAGCUUCGCUAACCUCGUCCAAUACUACUGUG